AAUGGGCGAAAGCCUGACGCAGCGACGCCGCGUGAGUGAUGAAGGCCUUCGGGUCGUAAAGCUCUGUUGGAGAGGGACGAAUAAGAUGUGGGAAUAAUACCUCAUGUCCCUGACGGUACUUCUCCAGAAAGCACCGGCUAACUCCGUGCCAGCAGCCGCGGUAAUACGGAGGGUGCAAACGUUGUUCGGAAUCACUGGGCGUAAAGCGCGUGUAGGCGGCUUGGAAAGUCAGAUGUGAAAUCCCACGGCUUAACCGUGGAAGUGCAUUUGAAACUUCCAGGAUAGAAUAUGGGAGAGGGUUGUAGAAUUCCUGGUGUAGAGGUGAAAUUCGUAGAUAUCAGGAGGAAUACCGGUGGCGAAGGCGGCAACCUGGACCAAUAUUGACGCUGAGACGCGAAAGCGUGGGGAGCAAA
rnacentral:rRNA from 1 species